rnacentral:lncRNA from 1 species
UACGAUGCCAUGAUGUUGAAUCGUAUGAAUCAUCUGGGCUAUAGACUGUUAUGGUGGUUGCGUAUGGUUAUUGGUGGUUAGAGUUUGAUUCUUGGUUUUGAGUUUGGGUGUGUGACAUGAAUUGGUUGCGAGGUUGGGUGUUUGGUUGUUAGGUAUAUAUGGUAGGGUGAUGGUGUGAGGUUGGUUGUUGGGUUUGGGUGGAUUGACAUUGUUCUUGGAAGGGGAUUUGUUG